rnacentral:rRNA from 1 species
GACGAACGCUGGCGGCGUGCCUAAUACAUGCAAGUCGAACGCUUCUUUCCUCCCGAGUGCUUGCACUCAAUUGGAAAGAGGAGUGGCGGACGGGUGAGUAACACGUGGGUAACCUACCCAUCAGAGGGGGAUAACACUUGGAAACAGGUGCUAAUACCGCAUAACAGUUUAUGCCGCAUGGCAUAAGAGUGAAAGGCGCUUUCGGGUGUCGCUGAUGGAUGGACCCGCGGUGCAUUAGCUAGUUGGUGAGGUAACGGCUCACCAAGGCCACGAUGCAUAGCCGACCUGAGAGGGUGAUCGGCCACACUGGGACUGAGACACGGCCCAGACUCCUACGGGAGGCAGCAGUAGGGAAUCUUCGGCAAUGGACGAAAGUCUGACCGAGCAACGCCGCGUGAGUGAAGAAGGUUUUCGGAUCGUAAAACUCUGUUGUUAGAGAAGAAAAAGGACGUUAGUAACUGAACGUCCCCUGACGGUAUCUAACCAGAAAGCCACGGCUAACUACGUG